CAUGGCUCAGGACGAACGCUGGCGGCGUGCUUAACACAUGCAAGUCGAGCGGUAAGGCCUUUCGGGGUACACGAGCGGCGAACGGGUGAGUAACACGUGGGUGAUCUGCCCUGCACUUCGGGAUAAGCCUGGGAAACUGGGUCUAAUACCGGAUAUGACCUCCUAUCGCAUGGUGGGUGGUGGAAAGAUUUAUCGGUGCAGGAUGGGCCCGCGGCCUAUCAGCUUGUUGGUGGGGUAAUGGCCUACCAAGGCGACGACGGGUAGCCGACCUGAGAGGGUGACCGGCCACACUGGGACUGAGACACGGCCCAGACUCCUACGG
rnacentral:rRNA from 1 species